GUGGGGAAUAUUGGGCAAUGGGGGCAACCCUGACCCAGCGACGCCGCGUGGGGGAAGACGGCCUUCGGGUUGUAAACCUCUUUUGUACGGGAAGAAGGAAGUGACGGUACUGUACGAAUAAGUCCCGGCUAACUACGUGCCAGCAGCCGCGGUAAUACGUAGGGGACGAGCGUUGUCCGGAAUUACUGGGCGUAAAGGGCGCGCAGGCUGUGCUGCAAGUCAGCUGUUAAAUGUCUGGGCUUAACCCGGGCAUGCGGUUGAGACUGCGGUGCUGGAGUGCUGUAGAGGCAAGUGGAAUUCCCAGUGUAGCGGUGAAAUGCGUAGAUAUUGGGAAGAACACCGGUGGCGAAGGCGACUUGCUGGGCAGCAACUGACGCUGAGGCGCGAAAGCCAGGGGAGCAAACGGGAUUAGAAACCCUGGUAGUCC
rnacentral:rRNA from 1 species